AUGCUACUCCCUACGUCCCAAAAUUCUUGUCUUAAAUUUGUCCAGAUACGGAUGUAUCUAACUAGAUACAUCCGUAUUUAGAAAAAUCUAAGACAAGAAUUUUGGGAUGGAGGGAGUAUUAU
rfam:Triticum aestivum genome assembly, contig: Triticum_aestivum_CS42_TGACv1_scaffold_473293_6AL